UCUCUUUUAUCAUGGAAACAAAAUUCCGCUUCCGGCGGUGACAUCUCACUGGCCAGAACUGUGUCACAUGACCAGCGCUACUGCAGCACAGCUCGGGGAGUGGGCACUAAGCUUUUCCGGUGUCUAUUGUGGAAGAGAGAAGGGGAGAAGAGCGUGGCGUUAUGACUGUGGCGGACGUCUGGCAUUGCGACCGCCCAGCAUCUUCUGAAUAUCCUCUCUGCAAUUUGGUAGUUCCCACAUCGUGAAUUCUUUCUCUCCCACUUAGAAUCUAGAAGGAUUACGUUGGUCAGCCUCCCUCACCACUAGGGGCAGAUGUCUGACGUGACCUGGGAGAGGGCGGCUGCACCAGGACCCCAGUGGGCUGCUGAGGCGACCGUUUCGCUGGACUGGUCCCAGCAAAGGCAGCUUGUUUCUGGGGCCGGGGGUGGUGUCAGCGUCUUGCUGCUGCCGACACAGCAGCUCUGGGCGUGGUGGGGGCAGCAGAGCCUGAACCCAGACCAGUCCUGGCAGGGGUUUUGGGUACUGUUCCUGGAAGCUUAGCUAGAUCCUCGAGCCCUCUCACAGCCCCUUAUAAAUCCAUAUCUGCUUAAACAAGCUAGAGUGGGUUCCUUUAUCCACAGCUGUUACGGGUUGGAUUGUGUCUCCCCACAUGCUGUGCUGAAGUCCGAAUCCCCGGUACCUGCGAACGGGACCUUAUUUGGAAAUAGGGUCUUUACAGAUGUAGUCAAGUUCCGAAGACGUUAUUAGGGUGGGCCUCAAUCCGAUAUGCUGGCGUCCUUAUAAGAUGAGGGAAAUUUGGGCACAGACCCCCAAGGGAGAAGGCCAUGUGACGGCAGAGGCAGACAUGGAGGGGCUGCGGCUUCGAGCCCUGGAAGGCCAGGCUGACAGCGUCCCCAGAAGCUGGAGGAGGCGGGGAGGACCCUCCUCUGGAGCCUUCAGAGGGAGCACGGCGCUGCCCACACCUUGAUGUUGGACUUCUGGCCUCCAGAGUGUGAGAGAAUAAACUUCUGUUAAGCCCCCCGAUUUGUGGUGCUUUGUUACAGCAGCCCUAGGACACGCAUACAGCAGAGGCUGGAAGUCUGAGCUCAAGGUGUCAGCAGGCAUGGCGUCUCCUGAGGCCUCUCUCCAAGGCGUGCAGACGACCGUCUCCUCGCUGGGUCCUCACGUGGUCGCGUCCCUCUGUGUGUGUCUGUGUCCUCACCUCCUCCUCCUAUAAGGACACCAGCCUUGGGACUUCCCUGGCCAUCCAGUGGCUCCGGACGCGCAGGCUCAGCGGCCACGACUCACGGGCCCAGCCACUCCGCGGCAUGUGGGAUCUUCCCGGACUGGGGCACGAACUCGUGUCCCCUGCAUCGGCAGGCGGACUCUCAACCACUGCGCCAACAGGGAAGCCCCUAUAACUGUAUCUUUAUAUAUUCUUUAUAUAUAUAUU